UGGGGAAUAUUGCACAAUGGGCGAAAGCCUGAUGCAGCAACGCCGCGUGAGUGAUGAAGGUCUUCGGAUUGUAAAGCUCUGUCUUUUGGGACGAUAAUGACGGUACCAAAGGAGGAAGCCACGGCUAACUACGUGCCAGCAGCCGCGGUAAUACGUAGGUGGCGAGCGUUGUCCGGAUUUACUGGGCGUAAAGGGUGCGUAGGCGGAUGUUUAAGUGAGAUGUGAAAUACCCGGGCUUAACUUGGGUGCUGCAUUUCAAACUGGAUAUCUAGAGUGCAGGAGAGGAGAAUGGAAUUCCUAGUGUAGCGGUGAAAUGCGUAGAGAUUAGGAAGAACACCAGUGGCGAAGGCGAUUCUCUGGACUGUAACUGACGCUGAGGCACGAAAGCGUGGGUAGCAAACAGGAUUAGAUACCCUGGUAGUCCACGCCGUAAAACGAUGAGUACUAGGUGUAGGAGGUAUCGACCCCUUCUGUGCCGCAGUAAACACAUUAAGUANUCCGC
rnacentral:rRNA from 1 species